AUUGAACGCUGGCGGCAUGCCUUACACAUGCAAGUCGAACGGUAACGCGGGGCAACCUGGCGACGAGUGGCGAACGGGUGAGUAAUGUAUCGGAACGUGCCCAGUUGUGGGGGAUAACUACUCGAAAGAGUGGCUAAUACCGCAUACGACCUGAGGGUGAAAGCGGGGGAUCGCAAGACCUCGCGCAAUUGGAGCGGCCGAUAUCAGAUUAGGUAGUUGGUGGGGUAAAGGCUCACCAAGCCAACGAUCUGUAGCUGGUCUGAGAGGACGACCAGCCACACUGGGACGGAGACACGGCCCAGACUCCUACGGGAGGCAGCAGUGGGGAAUUUUGGACAAUGGACGCAAGUCUGAUCCAGCCAUGCCGCGUGCGGGAAGAAGGCCUUCGGGUUGUAAACCGCUUUUGUCAGGGAAGAAACGCUCUGGGUUAAUACCUCGGGGUAAUGACGGUACCUGAAGAAUAAGCACCGGCUAACUACGUGCCAGCCGCCGCAGUAAUAC
rnacentral:rRNA from 1 species